rnacentral:rRNA from 1 species
UGGGGAAUAUUGCACAAUGGAGGGAACUCUGAUGCAGCAACGCCGCGUGCGGGAUGACGGCCUUCGGGUUGUAAACCGCUUUCAGCCAUGACGAAGCUUUUGUGACGGUAGUGGUAGAAGAAGCACCGGCUAACUACGUGCCAGCAGCCGCGGUGAUACGUAGGGUGCGAGCGUUGUCCGGAAUUAUUGGGCGUAAAGAGCUUGUAGGCGGUUUGUCGCGUCGAUAGUGUAAACACGCAGCUUAACUGUGUGCCUGCUGUCGAUACGGGCUGACUAGAGGAGGGUAGGGGAGAAUGGAAUUCCCGGUGGAGCGGUGGAAUGCGCAGAUAUCGGGAGGAACACCAGUGGCGAAGGCGGUUCUCUGGACCUUUCAUGACGCUGAGAAGCGAAAGCGUGGGUAGCAAACAGG